rnacentral:snRNA from 1 species
UUGCUUUGGCAGCACAUAUACUAAUGUUGGAAGGAUACAGAGAAGUCUAGCCCCUGCUCAAGGAUGAUAUGAAAAUUUGUGAAACACCUCCCCCCUUCUUU